CGUCUCCUAGUAACUUCGUUUUUGUCUUCAUUCAUCUUCUAACUGCGGACACGGUAAACAAGAAAAUCACGUAACAAAAGCGAAAGGAGCUGAACAAUAGCAACGCAACACUGAACUUUUAGAGGCCUAAUACAAGUCAAUGGGAAAUCAUAGAACCAGAAGAAGUUCAACGCGAUUCCACCGACACACAAACAAAAUGGCUUCCCGGAAGAGCCUCAUGAGACGUCUGCAGAAAGUGACCCGGAAACUGAUUGGUGCUGCCCUCUUUUACGGUCUUCUGCUCGCAAUCGGAAUGGUGCAGUCAAAGAUGGUACUAUGCCGACUCUGUAGAACCUACCUGACUCAAAUUACUCCCCUUGAAUUUUUGGUCUUAUUUGGCGCGUUAUCAUUCCUUUUUUGGCUGCUGAAUUGUCUGCUCUUGCAGUUUUGCACACGUGUGUUAUUUUCAGGUAAAAAGGCGAGAAAGUCAAGUUCAAUGCUCUAUCCAAAUUACAAAGAGCCAAAAUAUACAAGAUCCGGAACAAUAUAUGGUUAUAUGUAAUAUACUUUAAUAAAAUCAGAGAGAAAGGAAA